rnacentral:rRNA from 1 species
UGGGGAAUCUUAGACAAUGGAGGAAACCCUGAUCUAGCCAUGCCGCGUGAGCGAUGAAGGCCUUAGGGUUGUAAAGCUCUUUCAGCUGGGAAGAUAAUGACGGUACCAGCAGAAGAAGCCCCGGCUAACUCCGUGCCAGCAGCCGCGGUAAUACGGAGGGGGCUAGCGUUGUUCGGAAUUACUGGGCGUAAAGCGCACGUAGGCGGAUUAGUCAGUCAGAGGUGAAAUCCCAGGGCUCAACCCUGGAACUGCCUUUGAUACUGCUAGUCUUGAGGUCGAGAGAGGUGAGUGGAAUUCCGAGUGUAGAGGUGAAAUUCGUAGAUAUUCGGAGGAACACCAGUGGCGAAGGCGGCUCACUGGCUCGAUACUGACGCUGAGGUGCGAAAGCGUGGGGAGCAAAACAGGAUUAGAUACCCCUGGUAGUCCACGCCGUAAACGAUGAAUGCCAGUCGUCGGGUUGCAUGCAAUUCGGUGACACACCCUAAACGGAUUAAGCAUUCCGCCUGGGGAGUACGGUCGCAAGAUUAAAACUCAAAGGAAUUGACGGGGUCAUAGCUGUUUCCUG